rnacentral:rRNA from 1 species
AGCGAACGCUGGCGGCAGGCUUAACACAUGCAAGUCGAACGCCCCGCAAGGGGAGUGGCAGACGGGUGAGUAACACGUGGGAACGUACCCUUUGGUUCGGAAUAACUUGGGGAAACUCAAGCUAAUCCCGGAUAAGCUCUCAUGGGGAAAGGAUUACUGCCGAGGGAUCGGCCCGCGGCUGAUUAGCUAGUUGGUGAGGUAAUGGCUCACCAAGGCGACGAUCAGUAGCUGGUCUGAGAGGAUGAUCAGCCACACGGGGACUGAGACACGGCCGAGACUACUAGGGGGGGGAGCAGUGGGGAAUAUUGGACAAUGGGGGCAACCCUGAACCAGCCAUGGCGCGUGAGUGAUGAAGGCCUUAGGGUUGUAAAGCUCUUUUACCCGGGACGAUAAUGACUGUACCGGGAGAAUAAGCACCGGCUAACUUCGUGCCAGCAGCCGCCGCGG